rnacentral:rRNA from 1 species
AUGUUCGAGAAAGCAAACCCACUCUUCGAGGAGGAAGAUGGUCGACGCGACUACGUCACUAAGAGCCACUUCUUCAUCGCCCAACGAGCUCUACAUCAAGAGAGUGAAGCUUUGGGCGAUCGCAUCGAGCAACUCGCCACCGACCUACGACAAUCGGAAGCACGACAACUGGACUAUCUAGACGCCAAGCUCUCCAAACAAAUGGAUGAAUUUGGCAACAUGCUCGUGAGCCGCGCAUCUUCAUCAACUUCUUCAUCAAGAAGGCGCCCCUCAAGUCACCACUCAUCAUCAUAUUCUUCUUCCGACGCGAGUCCUCCUCGACGCGACAACACUCACGACCGCCAUGUGCAAGAUAAUCCAUUCCAUGGCAAUAGCCUCUGA